rnacentral:rRNA from 1 species
AUACAGAGGGUGCGAGCGUUAAUCGGAAUUACUGGGCGUAAAGCGCGCGUAGGCGGCUUAUUAAGUCAGAUGUGAAAUCCCCGGGCUCAACCUGGGAACUGCAUCUGAUACUGGUAAGCUAGAGUUUUGGAGAGGGGAGUAGAAUUUCAGGUGUAGCGGUGAAAUGCAUAGAGAUCUAAAGGAAUACCAGUGGCGAAGGCGACUUCCUGGCCAAAAACUGACGCUGAGGUGCGAAAGCGUGGGUAGCAAACGGGAUUAGAAACCCUAGUAGUCC